ACACAUUUUACUCUGCUGUCUCAGGAUUUUGAGAACGCAGUUAUCAGGUUUGGUUUUCCAAGCACAUUCGACUUUUGAGAGACCAUGGGGUAAUUAUAAGGACCAUGGAGGAAUUAUAAAUCUUAGCUGGCCUGGGAAUGCCUCGGUAUCCAGAUUGAACCAGGAAAUGAAGACAAAACAUAAACAUUCAAGGAAUAGCAGCUAUGCAUAAAGCAAAUUAAAAUUUUAGCACACUGCUUUGGAUAUGCAAUAAGGGAAGCCUAUAUCUGGGGGAUUUACAAUAUUUUUUGUCAUGUUUUUCAUCAUCUCUCAAAUUUGUAAUAUAUGUGUUCUUUUUCUCUCAAAGAUCCUGUAUCACAAAGCCCAGAGAAGGCCUUAAAAAUUGCAGAGUCUGGCUGUGCAGAUGAGGUGGGACCCUCUGCUUCUCCCAAAGGAGACGAGGUACAGGAUUUGUCCUGUUUACAACAUGUUUACAUUGCCCUCAGCAUCUGUGUGCAUGGGUUAAUAUUCACUUGGGAGGGGAAGUAAGCAUUGGAAAAGAGACGUGGUCCAGGAUCCAGAAUAGCACCAGGGAUUCGUUAUUUGUGAAAGAGUUGGCAGUGGUGAUGUGGGGCACUAAAACCCUGGGGGAAAGGAGCCUCACAGGGAAAGAAUGCCCCUCCACAUUAAAAGUCUGUUACAAAGAGUGGCUGCGUCGGAAGAAUCUGGAGGACACAGAGCCGCAGGCCAGAUGGAAAAAGGCUGGACGUUUCAUAACUGAAAAAAUUAUGGACAUAAACAAACAAAAAAAAAAGCCACUUCAGUGAGAAUAAGAGCACUCAAAGUGCCAUGCAAUGUAAGGGUACUUAAGUUUUGUUCAUUUUGACGAUGUUGUGAUUUGCUUGUUUUUUAUGUUAAACAGUAAUUGUUUAUUGGUUCUUGUUAUUAUUAAAUGAAAAUACUGUUUUGAAAACA